rnacentral:rRNA from 1 species
GACGAACGCUGGCGGCGCGCUUAACACAUGCAAGUCGAACGGAAAGGCCUGCUUUCCCUUGUGGAUUGCGGGUACUCGAGUGGCGAACGGGUGAGUAACACGUGAGUGAUCUGCCCCCAACUUGGGUAUAAGCCUGGGAAACUGGGUCUAAUUCCCGAUAGGACUGCAGGGUGGUGCCUGUGGUGGAAAACGAUUUUCUAGUGGUUGGGGAUGAGCUCGCGGCCUAUCAGCUUGUUGGUGGGGUAAUGGCCUACCAAGGCGGCGACGGGUAGCCGGCCUGAGAGGGUGGACGGCCGCAUUGGGACUGAGAGACGGCCCAGACUCCUACGGGAGGCAGCAGUGGGGAAUAUUGCACAAUGGGCGGAAGCCUGAUGCAGCGACGCCGCGUGGGGGAUGACGGCCUUCGGGUUGUAAACUCCUUUCGACCGCGAGGAAGCCACCUGGUUGGAAGGGUGGUGACGGUAGUGGUAGAAGAAGCACCGGCUAACUACGUG